rnacentral:rRNA from 1 species
AUGGCCAUGGCGACCCACGGCCACCUCCACAAGCGCCGACGCGUCUGCCCUGCUGCUGCCGCGGCCGCGGCCGCGCCGAUCGACUCGCUGGCCGACGAGCUCCUCUUCUUGGUCCUGGACCGGGUGGCGGCCGCCGAUCCGCGCGCGCUCAAGUCUUUCGCGCUCGCCUCCCGCGCCUGCCAUGCCGCCGAGUCGCGCCACCGCCGCGUGCUCCGCCCGUACCGCGCCGACCUCCUGCGCGCCGCGCUCGCCCGCUACCCCACCGCCGUCCGCCUCGACCUCACCCUCUGCCCGCGCGUCCCCGGAGCGGCCCUGGCCGCCCUCUCCUCCGCGCCCAUGCCUUGCCUCCGCGCCGUCGACCUCUCCCGCUCCCGCGGCUUCGGGGCGCCGGGCCUCGCCGCGCUCGUCGCCGCCUGCCCCGGCCUCGCCGACCUCGACCUCUCCAAUGGGGUCGACCUCGGGGACGCGGCGGCCGCGGAGUUGGCGCGGGCGCGGGGCCUGCAGAGGCUCUGCCUUUCCCGCUGCAAGCCCAUGACGGACAUGGGGCUCGGCUGCAUCGCCGUCGGCUGCCCGGACCUGCGGGAGCUCACGCUCAACUGGUGCCUCGGGAUCACGGAUUUGGGGGUCCAGCUACUCGCCCUCAAGUGCAAGAAACUCAGGACCCUGAAUCUUUCCUACACCAUGAUCUCCAAAGACUGCCUUCCAGCCAUCAUGAAGCUACCCAAUCUUGAGGUGUUGGCACUGGUGGGAUGUGUUGGAAUAGAUGAUGAUGCCCUUAGUGGCCCUGAGAAUGAAUGCAGCAAAUCACUACGGGUGCUUGAUAUGUCAACCUGUCGAAAUGUCACUCAUGCGGGAGUUUCAUCAGUUGUGAAGGCAGUGCCAAAUCUCUUGGAGUUGAAUCUGUCGUACUGCUGUAAUGUUACUCCAUCUAUGGGAAGAUGCUUCCAAAUUCUUCCUAAAUUGCAGACCCUGAAAUUGGAAGGCUGCAAGUUCAUGGCUGAUGGACUAAAAUACAUUGGAAUUUCUUGCGUCUCUUUAAGAGAGUUGAGCCUGAGCAAGUGCUCAGGAAUGACAGAUACAGAUCUUUCUUUCGUUGUGUCAAGACUAAAGAAUUUGCUGAAGCUGGACAUUACUUGCAAUCGCAAUAUCACUGAUGUUUCCUUAGCUGCCAUCACUAGCUCAUGCCCUUCCCUCAUCUCUCUAAGAAUGGAGUCCUGUAGCCAUUUUUCUAGUGAAGGGCUCCGACUGAUUGGGAAGCGAUUUUGCCAUUUGGAAGAGUUGGACAUCACCGACAGUGAUUUGGACGAUGAAGGUUUGAAAGCUCUGUCUGGAUGCAGAAAACUAUCAAGCUUAAAAAUUGGAAUAUGCAUGAGGAUAAGUGAUGAAGCGCUUAUCCACAUUGGGAAGUCUUGUCCAGAACUCCGAGAUAUUGAUUUGUAUAGGUCUGGGGGUAUUAGUGAUGAGGGGGUUACUCAAAUUGCUCAAGGUUGUCCAAUGCUAGAGUCUAUCAACCUGUCCUACUGUACAGAAAUAACAGAUGUUUCGUUGGUGUCGCUCUCAAAAUGUGCAAAGCUGAACACACUGGAGAUCCGUGGUUGCCCCAGUGUUUCAUCUGCUGGGCUCUCAGAAAUAGCAAUCGGAUGCAGGCUACUUGCCAAGCUUGAUAUCAAGAAAUGCUUUGCGAUCAAUGAUGUGGGGAUGCUUUUUCUUUCCCAGUUCUCUCAUAGCCUCCGUCAGAUAAACUUGUCAUACUGUUCGGUCACCGACAUUGGACUUCUGUCCCUCUCUAGCAUAUGUGGGCUUCAGAACAUGACGAUUGUACACUUGGCGGGUAUUACACCUAAUGGCUUGAUGGCUGCUCUUAUGGUCUCUGGUGGUUUGACAAGGGUGAAGCUUCACGCAGCGUUCAGAUCUAUGAUGCCUCCGCAUAUGCUCAAAGUCGUCGAGGCUCGCGGCUGUGCUUUCCAGUGGAUUGAUAAACCAUUCAAGGUCGAGCAAGAACGAUGUGACAUAUGGCAACAACAGUCCCGAGAUGUGCUUGUACGAUGA